CUCUGAGAGAUAUUCCAUCCAUUAGAAGUCAAGACAUCAUUGCUGCUGCUGCUGCUAAGUCUCUUCAGUCAUGUCCAACUCUGUGCGACCCCAUAGACGGCAGCCCACCAGGCUCCCCCGUCCCUGGGAUUCUCCAGGCAAGAACACUGGAGUGGGUUGCCAUUUCCUUCUCCAAUGCAUGAAAGUGAAAAGGGAAAGUGAAGUCACUCAGUCGUGUCUGACUCUUCGAGACCCCAUGGACUGCAGCCUACCAGGCUCCUCCUCUCAUGAGAUUUUCCAGGCAAGAGUACUGGAGUGGGGUGCCAUCGCCUUCUCCGCAAGGCAUCAUUAGACUGACCCGCCCCCAGGAGGGGUGAACUCCGGCCAUUCCUGGGGAGAAGAAUCCCGCCGUGGGCUGCUCUCACCAGGUUCGGCCAGGCCGUCCUGCUCUCCGGGCCCUGCAGAGGCCUCCCCGGCCCCACACAGCCCUCCUGCUCCCCCCACCCCACCCCCUGCAGCCGUCCACCGCCCAGCAGUCUGCUUCUCACGUGUGGAGCUGUGUCUGCAGAACACGAAACAGACCGCUCCGCACCCAGAACAGGGAGCCUGUCAGCUGCAGUGGGAAGGCUGGUGGAAAACUGCCCUGGAAAUGCUAACAGGGCUCGGGGGCACAAGUCACAUAGAUUUCCUAAAGGAAAUCAACCCUGAAUAUUCACUGGAAGGACUGAUGCUAAAGCUGAAGCUCGAAUACUUUGGCCACCUGAUCCCAAGAACUGACUCACAAGAAAAGACCCUGAUGCUGGGAAAGAUUGAAGGUGGGAGAAGGGGACAACAGAUGAGAUAAUUGGAUGGCAUCAUCGACUCAGUGGACGAGAAUUUGAGCAGGCUCCGGGAAAUAGUGAAGGUCAGGGAGGCCUGAUGUGCUGCAGCCCAUGGAGUCACAGAGAGUCGGACAGGACCUGGCGACUGAACAACAAAAGAUGGCAAGAAAACAAAGAAAACUGAAAGAAAGAAGUGCAGAGGAAAGAGAACACUGAUUCUGAAAGGGAUCUUGAUAAAGUCAGGCACGUGGACUUCUUGCCCCACUCUGACCAACUCCUGGAUCAACCCAGACAGGGGAUCCCAGGGAAGCCUGCCUGCCCACACCUGAAUCCUCCC
ensembl:lncRNA